rnacentral:tRNA from 1 species
UUUAUUAUGGCAGAAGAAAAUGCAUUGAAUUUAAGCUUCAAAGAUAGAAAAUUAAUGUUUUCUUUAUAAAA